rnacentral:rRNA from 1 species
GUCCACGCCGUAAACGAUGGAUACUAGCUGUUGGAAGUAAUUUCAGUGGUUAAGCGAAAGUGAUAAGUAUCCCACCUGGGGAGUACGUUCGCAAGAAUGAAACUCAAAGGAAUUGACGGGGGCCCGCACAAGCGGUGGAGCAUGUGGUUUAAUUCGAUGAUACGCGAGGAACCUUACCAAGGCUUAAAUGUAGUUUGACAGAUUUGGAAACAGAUUUUUCUUCGGACAAAUUACAAGGUGCUGCAUGGUUGUCGU